GUAGAGGAGGAAGGUCUGACAAUUGCCUGGAGCCUUGACUCACUUUUGCCAAAGGUCAAACGUCCGUGGAACAAUUUCCUAUGGGAUGUAAGGGGAUUCGGUGGAGUCCUGAGGCCUGUGGACAACAGCAGCUCAACCAGAAAUGACUCAGAUGGGGAGCUGGAAGCAGCCAAGAGUAAGGCUGAGAGUAGGGGCAGCAGUAGAGGAACCACCAAGGGCGGGCCAGACACGGCGGAUAGAACGCUGACUUCAGAUCAAAGUAAUGCCUGUCCAUCUACAGCGCAUCUCUCAAAUCCCAUCUCUAAGUACUUUGUCUGGAACUAUGAUCAGGCUUACGGACAUUUUAUAAAGAAAAAAUUCAUUCAUUCCAGUGUAAAAAGACUUCAUAGUCUGCAACAGAGCCAGCUCUGCUUAAAAGCAUAAAUGCUGAGCUUCGUCUGAGACUCAGAAAAAUCUCUGAGAGGCCUGUACAAUCAAAACAAGUUACAUGGAUUGGAGAGAUGGUUCAGCAGCACUCAGUGGUUCUCUGGAACUGUGGAGUAAGAUUGCAUGAUCCCCCUUCAUCUUUCAUGCCUACGAAACCAUGGCAAAGGCAGUCCUGAGAGACCACUGCAUGAAACCGAUGAAGUAAAGAUGGUGACUCUGUCAAGUUUUGCUGCCAGUUCAGGAUGGAGUCGGGCCUGCUUGGAACAUAGUUGAGUCAGCCUCUGUGUGCUGAGCCAGAACACAUGUCCAGGACAGGUAUUUUGAA